UACAGAGGGGGCAAGCGUUGUACGGAAUUACUGGGCGUAAAGGGCGCGUAGGCGGCCAUCUAAGUCAGACGUGAAAUCCCCCGGCUUAACCUGGGAACUGCGUCUGAUACUGGACGGCUAGAGUAUGGGAGAGGGAUGUAGAAUUCCAGGUGUAGCGGUGAAAUGCGUAGAUAUCUGGAGGAAUACCGGUGGCGAAGGCGGCAUCCUGGACCAUUUACUGACGCUGAGGCGCGAAAGCUAGGGGAGCAAACGGG
rnacentral:rRNA from 1 species